GCUGGUGAUUAUUCGAAGGUGCUCGGGUUGGUGGAUGAGGUUCAGCUGUGGUUCGGGGUCUUGUAUGCAACUGCAUAUGACAAAUUGCGGAGAGCGCUUGUUACUGACCUGGGCAAAUGUACUGUCUUUAUGGCUGGUGAGUUAAGCAGUUUUGAUGGCGCGGUUGUGCGUUCAUUCUGUACAGCAACUUUGGUUGAGUAUGGGAAGUGAUCAACGAAAGACGAAAUAUUCGAGCUUGCUCGCAGGAUAUGUUCCAGAUAAUAUCAUUAUCAGAGAAAAGGACAUCACUCAUAUUUGAUGUGCUAACUUGUUUAUUAGAAUCCAGUGGCCUGGAUGGAAAGGUAAGUCUUCGAGAAUAGGAUCUGAGUUUGCUUGAAAAAGUAUAUACAUCGAAGUAGGGAAAAGUGAAAGGGGACACUAACGAAGUUACAUAUGAAUUUUCUUGGGUACUUGUAACAUUUCAAUCGCUAAGUCCAGCCAAUGUAAACUUUUACGUACGUGGUAGUAAUUGGGUGCGUGAUUGGAGAAAUAGAAUCCAAAAUCUUGGAAUUUAUAGUCACGAAUUCUUUAUCAGUAUGUUUGCAGGCAUUUACUUUCCUACUUUCCACCUCUCUUGCGAUGGUAUCAUCCAGUUCGUCUGAAGUUCACAUAUUGCUAUUUGGGGAGCCACAUGCGGGUGGUGAAUGGAAUUUGGAUUCUGAAGCUGUUUAUUGAUUAU